AGUACCAGCCAGUUGGACAAGCAGGGGUUGUAGGAUUGUCUGCCAGCUCCUCAUAACUCGUAGUAAUGUGUAUUUGUGGGAAUUGUUCAACAGUGCCUACAGAGCCCCAGGAUGCCUGCUGCAGGGAGAUACCACGGGUAACAAGAAGACUACAGCAGCUUCACAACCAGCUAUCAUGCAUGAUGAAUCAUCCUGGCUUCAAACCUGUAUGUUUGAAUGUGUGCUCACUACAGCAUGCAUUCAACAUUUAUAGAGCACACUAUGGGCCUUUACAUCUGAAGGGGAAUAGAAAUAGAAAGUAUUUUUUAUGCAUAUAAAUUGUCAAUUAUUAUUGUAAUACAAAUAGGACUAAGGAAGAAAAUACAAUUACUGUUUCCUCUAUAUUACCUGCUUACUGUUUCAUAGUCAUCACUUAUGUUACAUAAACACAAAACAGUUUAUAUAGAUUGAACAACUUUUAUUGUCAUGAAGAUUGUUAUAGCAAAUACCACACAACUUUUGAAACACAUUUAUUCAAUGUACCACCUUGUGCAGCAGUCCUGAAUUUUUUUUAAAUAGGAAAAAAAGAUGGACACACUAUAAAUGGGUGUCACCGUUUACUGUUGACUAAAUAUCAUGUACACUUUGUUAAGCCAUUGAAGAUACUUGGCCUACAGAAGUUUUGUAAACUGAUGUUAGGCCCUUUGUGGCCGGAGAUUCCGAGUGGUACUGCCCACCGGCGUGGUGCUAUGGAUACGGACAGAAUUCCCUGACACUCAAGGAAGGUACAUGUGUUUCAGACCUGUCUUUGAUUGAACCUCGACAUGUAGCUGACUAUCACUUCCUGCUUCUCUGGUCUUUUAAACUGGGCAGAUGUGGGAUCUUCAGCACAUCAUCCAUAUCUGGGGCAGGGUCAUGGUCCUCUCACAGAUGAGGACCAGCAGUUCAUCCAUGGAUACUUUGUCAAAUUGUCCAAUAACCCAACAGCCCUGUUGCAGUGUGAUUUUUAGCAUUUAUAUUGUUUUCAUUAUAAGGUUUAUUUAUUAUGAAAGACAACAAUCACUGUAUGUUAUUUAUCAAUUACUCUAUAUGUUAUUUAUUUUUCACUUGUUGUAUAAUGGCUACUUGCACAUUUUGUGAUUUGUGACUUUAAAUAGCAGCUCACCAACUGAUGUUGUUGCUGGGGACACCCAGCGUUUUCACUGAAGUGCAGGGCUGCCAGGUAGUCUUGGGAGGAAAGAUAAUACUUAGAUGGUGGAGAGCACAUGUAAAUAUCCACCGUACACAUUCCCUUAAGUAUUAAGGAUUGACAGAUUGUCGUAAAGCACAUUUUUCCCUAGCUAAACAUGCAAACAUCACUAACCCUUAGCUGUCUGAGUGGAACACAACUGUAACUUAACUUGUAGAUUGACUACAUGUGGGAUGGGGAUGGUAUGACCUCCGUGAUUCAAGUAAUAAACUUUUUGUGAAUCUCUAUAAAAUCAACAGCAAGAAACAGGGGGGGCAUCACCACUCAUUCU